GCGUCGGUGGUUUUUGUUUCUUUCCUUCCUCUGUCUCUUCCCCGCGCCGCUCGAUCCCCUUUUCAUUUCGAACACGUAACCCAGAAGGCAACUGAGAGAGAUAUCCAUGGCGAUUUGGAGCUCCCCCUCGCCGCUCGUUGGUUGGUGGUGACUCGUCGGCGCUCUCCCUCCUACUGCCUCGCUCCCUCCGCCUCGUCGUUGUUUCUCCAGCCGAAGACCUGCAGCAUCUCUCCGCCCCGCAUCCACCUUGGCACCAUUAUUUCGCCGCUCGUCGGUUUUGUUCGAUUCGGAAGGUUCUAUGGAUGAUCCUGAUUUUGACAAAGCUUUGUAUGAUUUCUAUGUGUCGCAUAAAGCGAAUUUCCUGAAACGGAAGAUUACAGAUGCUGGAGCUCGCAAUGUGGUAUUUACGUUUCGUUGUUCUAUUCGCAUUUUCUGUACCCAACUACCACUAUGAUAGAGAUAGAUUUAAAUUUGUUUUUCCCCCUUGUUUGAUGUUUCUGCUAGAUGGUUUUUCAUUGUUGAUCUAGUGUAUUUUUAUCCUGAUUCCUUUUUUGUUUUGUGUUCCUUGUUCUGUUGUAGAAGCGCACACGGUCUUCUAAUUUUCCCGUAGCAAAUACAUUCGCUAGAUACUCUAGCAAGUUGUUCUCCACUGUUAUUGGCGGCUUGUCUCCUCGGCAAGUACGUGUUCUUCAGAGUUAUGGGGCUAGUUGUUCUCCACAAGUUUGUGAGGACAGUGGUGCCACUUAGGUUUGUCAAAUGGCUAGCAUCCAAAUUUGAUGUUCGUGCUUCAGUGAUUCAGAUUAGGAAAACGUUUAUUCUGAUUUGCGAAUAUGUCACCCAUGAUAUAUUAGGUCUUCCUGUUGACGGUGAGCCUAUUGUGUCCGAUGAUGCUGGCUGUGAGUUUAUCUUGUCUCAUUUCAAUGUGACUAGCAUCCCACCAGUUUCAUUCUUCUGCAAUAAACUAAAAUCCACCUCUGAAGAAUUGCCCGAUGAAGACAUUUUCAUCUGCUUCAUGUGCAUUGCCUUGUCCACCUUCUUGUGUCCAAAUCCAAUAUUAGUACUCUGUAAUUCUGGAGUUUUUAUUGUAAUCCAUGAUGGUUUUCAGUGUAACUAUUAGUUGAUUUUGCUCUGUAAUGCCUAGUGGAAUUACAGUGUACUUUAAUAGGCUUUACAUAGUAAAUCUUAGUGGAUUUACAGUGUAAUUUUACACAGAAUCCUUGUGGAUUUUUAGUGUACUUUUAGUUUAUUUUACAUGUUUUUUCUUAGUGGUAUUGCAGACAUUUUGUUUAGUGGUUUUUGCUGUGUAAUUCUUAGUCGAAUUUUAGUAUUUUUCUCAGUAGAUUUUUUAAUGAUAUUUAAGUGGUAUUUUUACAGUGUAUUUUCCAAGUGGUAUUUUCCAGUGGAAUUUCAGUUCAUUUUUUUA